GACGUAGGGUCCAAGCGUUGUCCGGAUUUACUGGGCGUAAAGAGCGCGUAGGCGGUCCGUUAAGUGUAGAGUGAAAGCUCCGGGCUCAACUCGGAAAUUGCUCUGCAUACUGGCGGACUCGAGGACGGAAGAGGUUUGUGGAAUUCCUGGUGUAGCGGUGAAAUGCGUAGAUAUCAGGAGGAACACCGGUGGCGAAGGCGGUUCUCUGGGCAUUACCUGACGCUGAGGAGCGAAAGUGUGGGGAGCGAACAGG
rnacentral:rRNA from 1 species